rfam:Macaca mulatta chromosome 14, whole genome shotgun sequence.
AAACAUGAGGAUGAUCUGGCUCUAACACGUCAACCCAUUGAUCACCAGAGUUGAUUCAGCUCAUCUGGCUGAGAAGGUGGGAGUCCCCUUCCUCCCUCACUGCUCCAUGUGUGUCCCACCUAGAUCUGUGUACUUAGUCAAAGAGGACAAUUUUCCCUGAAAAAAGAGGACCAUUCCAUAGUCAAGGGUAUAUGAGUAGCUGUGCUUCCCCACUAGAACCUCCAAAGCUCUCAAAGUAGGGAGCUUCUAAUGUAAUUUUGUUUUAUUUUGGUUGGUGUUUUUCUUUAUUUCUUUGAGCAAGAGAAAACACAG